GCAACUUUGUCAAGCAUACUGCGAAAGUCUGGGUUUGCCAUGGUGCUGUUCAGGAUUAUUUGGCCCGUGUCUUGCCAAGGACCUUGCCCACUUGCAAACUCUGUUCCAACAAAAAUUACUGAGGCGGCAAUGGCAGGUGCAACAGACAAAGAACCCUUCAUCAAGGAGAUAGUAAUCGCUUGAUGCUUUUGUACAGCAGCAGAAGAAUAAAUUACUUAUCUAUCUAUGAAGCUGGUUGAGUCAAUAAACUUGUAGAUCUAUGUUUGGAGAUCUCUGUUUAAUUAAAUAAUCUGUAGUCUUUGUUUGGAGACUACAUUAUGGAAA